CUACGGGACGCACCAGUGGGGAAUAUUGCACAAUGGGCGCAAGCCUGAUGCAGCCAUGCCGCGUGUAUGAAGAAGGCCUUCGGGUUGUAAAGUACUUUCAGCGGGGAGGAAGGGAGUAAAGUUAAUACCUUUGCUCAUUGACGUUACCCGCAGAAGAAGCACCGGCUAACUCCGUGCCAGCAGCCGCGGUAAUACGGAGGGUGCAAGCGUUAAUCGGAAUUACUGGGCGUAAAGCGCACGCGGGCGGUUUGUUAAGUCAGAUGUGAAAUCCCCGGGCUCAACCUGGGAACUGCAUCUGAUACUGGCAAGCUUGAGUCUCGUAGAGGGGGGUAGAAUUCCAGGUGUAGCGGUGAAAUGCGUAGAGAUCUGGAGGAAUACCGGUGGCGAAGGCGGCCCCCUGGACGAAGACUGACGCUCAGGUGCGAAAGCGUGGGGAGCAAAUAGGAUUAGAUACCCCUGUAGUC
rnacentral:rRNA from 1 species